AUUUGAGUUUCCUACCAGCUGAAACCAAGUAAACCUUAUGCUGAAUUGAGGGAACAGCCAUGGUGGUGAAGAAGAGGAAGAGCCCCAAAGUAGAGGCUGUAGUUUUGGAUGAGGAGAAACUACACAAGCUGAUAGCAUCCCUCUCUGUGGGCGGAGGAGAGGAUGGAGUCCGGGAGGUGGCACAGACCCUGCAGUCCUGCCUCGAGCUGACGGAGCCGGUGCAGCAGAUCCAGCUUGUUA